GUGGUGGCAAGCGUUGUCCGGAAUUAUUGGGCGUAAAGCGCGCGCAGGUGGUUCUUUAAGUCUGAUGUGAAAGCCCCCGGGCUCAACCGGGGAGGGUCAUUGGAAACUGGGGAACUUGAGUGCAGGAGAGGAAAGUGGAAUUCCACGUGUAGCGGUGAAAUGCGUAGAUAUGUGGAGGAACACCAGUGGCGAAGGCGACUUUCUGGCCUGUAACUGAGACUGAGGCGCGAAAGCGUGGGGAGCAAACAGGAUUAGAUACCCUGGUAGUCCACGCCGUAAACGAUGAGUGCUAAGUGUUGGGGGGUUUCCGCCCCUCAGUGCUGCAGCUAACGCAUUAAGCACUCCGCCUGGGGAGUACGGUCGCAAAGACUG
rnacentral:rRNA from 1 species